AUGAACCAUGGGACAAGUGCUCCAAAACUAAGGAUCUUGGCUGCAAUGAUUCUUGGUUUGACAUGUAGUUCCUCUGCUUGUGAGAGGAACUGGAGUGUAUUUGAUCAAGUUCACACAAAGAGAUGCAGCAGGAUGCUGCAUGACAAGAUGAGUGACCCUGUUUCCAUCAAGUUCAACUCCAAGUUGAAGGACAAGAAACUAAACAAACGCAAGGACCCCAUUGAGAAGCAGGUGGUAGAUGUUUUAGAAGAUGAUGAGAAUGAAUGGAUCACUGGUGUAGUGCCAAACGGUGAUGAAGAACAAGGUGAAGAUCAAGAUCAAGAAAUUCCGUAUGCAAGCUCGCAUGCUGGACCAGGAACUUCUGCUAUUAAUCCACUUAAAAGGAAGAGGGGUGUCUAUGGUAAGAAGAAGAAGAUGAUGAUCCCUGUUACUCCUCAAGAAGAUCUGAUCUCUGCUUCCUCUGCUUCAGAAAGUGACGACGGCGAGGACACCGACAUGAGUUCUGGUUCUGACAUGUGA
rnacentral:rRNA from 1 species